rnacentral:ribozyme from 1 species
CUCUCUCCGUUCUCCCUCUUCGCCGCUGUUUUAUUCUGAAUUUCUGUACCUCUCAUCUACCAUACCUCCAUCACACACUUGUGUGUUGAUAAGAACUUCUUGCCUUUACUUCUUCUUCUUUCUCACCCUGUUCACCCUCUUGUUCCUCUCCCUUCCUACCUUUCUCAGUGAAGGUGGAGGGCAGUGC